rnacentral:rRNA from 1 species
GGGUUGUGAGGUUAAGCGACUAAGCGUACACGGUGGAUGCCCUGGCAGUCAGAGGCGAUGAAGGACGUGCUAAUCUGCGAUAAGCGUCGGUAAGGUGAUAUGAACCGUUAUAACCGGCGAUUUCCGAAUGGGGAAACCCAGUGUGUUUCGACACACUAUCAUUAACUGAAUCCAUAGGUUAAUGAGGCGAACCGGGGGAACUGAAACAUCUAAGUACCCCGAGGAAAAGAAAUCAACCGAGAUUCCCCCAGUAGCGGCGAGCGAACGGGGAGGAGCCCAGAGCCUGAAUCAGUGUGUGUGUUAGUGGAAGCGUCUGGAAAGGCGCGCGAUACAGGGUGACAGCCCCGUACACAAAAAUGCACAUGCUGUGAGCUCGAUGAGUAGGGCGGGACACGUGGUAUCCUGUCUGAAUAUGGGGGGACCAUCCUCCAAGGCUAAAUACUCCUGACUGACCGAUAGUGAACCAGUACCGUGAGGGAAAGGCGAAAAGAACCCCGGCGAGGGGAGUGAAAAAGAACCUGAAACCGUGUACGUACAAGCAGUGGGAGCCUCUUUAUGGGGUGACUGCGUACCUUUUGUAUAAUGGGUCAGCGACUUAUAUUCUGUAGCAAGGUUAACCGAAUAGGGGAGCCGAAGGGAAACCGAGUCUUAACUGGGCGUUAAGUUGCAGGGUAUAGACCCGAAACCCGGUGAUCUAGCCAUGGGCAGGUUGAAGGUUGGGUAACACUAACUGGAGGACCGAACCGACUAAUGUUGAAAAAUUAGCGGAUGACUUGUGGCUGGGGGUGAAAGGCCAAUCAAACCGGGAGAUAGCUGGUUCUCCCCGAAAGCUAUUUAGGUAGCGCCUCGUGAAUUCAUCUCCGGGGGUAGAGCACUGUUUCGGCAAGGGGGUCAUCCCGACUUACCAACCCGAUGCAAACUGCGAAUACCGGAGAAUGUUAUCACGGGAGACACACGGCGGGUGCUAACGUCCGUCGUGAAGAGGGAAACAACCCAGACCGCCAGCUAAGGUCCCAAAGUCAUGGUUAAGUGGGAAACGAUGUGGGAAGGCCCAGACAGCCAGGAUGUUGGCUUAGAAGCAGCCAUCAUUUAAAGAAAGCGUAAUAGCUCACUGGUCGAGUCGGCCUGCGCGGAAGAUGUAACGGGGCUAAACCAUGCACCGAAGCUGCGGCAGCGACACUAUGUGUUGUUGGGUAGGGGAGCGUUCUGUAAGCCUGUGAAGGUGUGCUGUGAGGCAUGCUGGAGGUAUCAGAAGUGCGAAUGCUGACAUAAGUAACGAUAAAGCGGGUGAAAAGCCCGCUCGCCGGAAGACCAAGGGUUCCUGUCCAACGUUAAUCGGGGCAGGGUGAGUCGACCCCUAAGGCGAGGCCGAAAGGCGUAGUCGAUGGGAAACAGGUUAAUAUUCCUGUACUUGGUGUUACUGCGAAGGGGGGACGGAGAAGGCUAUGUUGGCCGGGCGACGGUUGUCCCGGUUUAAGCGUGUAGGCUGGUUUUCCAGGCAAAUCCGGAAAAUCAAGGCUGAGGCGUGAUGACGAGGCACUACGGUGCUGAAGCAACAAAUGCCCUGCUUCCAGGAAAAGCCUCUAAGCAUCAGGUAACAUCAAAUCGUACCCCAAACCGACACAGGUGGUCAGGUAGAGAAUACCAAGGCGCUUGAGAGAACUCGGGUGAAGGAACUAGGCAAAAUGGUGCCGUAACUUCGGGAGAAGGCACGCUGAUAUGUAGGUGAAGUCCCUCGCGGAUGGAGCUGAAAUCAGUCGAAGAUACCAGCUGGCUGCAACUGUUUAUUAAAAACACAGCACUGUGCAAACACGAAAGUGGACGUAUACGGUGUGACGCCUGCCCGGUGCCGGAAGGUUAAUUGAUGGGGUCAGCGCAAGCGAAGCUCUUGAUCGAAGCCCCGGUAAACGGCGGCCGUAACUAUAACGGUCCUAAGGUAGCGAAAUUCCUUGUCGGGUAAGUUCCGACCUGCACGAAUGGCGUAAUGAUGGCCAGGCUGUCUCCACCCGAGACUCAGUGAAAUUGAACUCGCUGUGAAGAUGCAGUGUACCCGCGGCAAGACGGAAAGACCCCGUGAACCUUUACUAUAGCUUGACACUGAACAUUGAGCCUUGAUGUGUAGGAUAGGUGGGAGGCUUGGAAGUGUGGACGCCAGUCUGCAUGGAGCCGACCUUGAAAUACCACCCUUUAAUGUUUGAUGUUCUAACGUUGACCCGUAAUCCGGGUUGCGGACAGUGUCUGGUGGGUAGUUUGACUGGGGCGGUCUCCUCCUAAAGAGUAACGGAGGAGCACGAAGGUUGGCUAAUCCUGGUCGGACAUCAGGAGGUUAGUGCAAUGGCAUAAGCCAGCUUGACUGCGAGCGUGACGGCGCGAGCAGGUGCGAAAGCAGGUCAUAGUGAUCCGGUGGUUCUGAAUGGAAGGGCCAUCGCUCAACGGAUAAAAGGUACUCCGGGGAUAACAGGCUGAUACCGCCCAAGAGUUCAUAUCGACGGCGGUGUUUGGCACCUCGAUGUCGGCUCAUCACAUCCUGGGGCUGAAGUAGGUCCCAAGGGUAUGGCUGUUCGCCAUUUAAAGUGGUACGCGAGCUGGGUUUAGAACGUCGUGAGACAGUUCGGUCCCUAUCUGCCGUGGGCGCUGGAGAACUGAGGGGGGCUGCUCCUAGUACGAGAGGACCGGAGUGGACGCAUCACUGGUGUUCGGGUUGUCAUGCCAAUGGCACUGCCCGGUAGCUAAAUGCGGAAGAGAUAAGUGCUGAAAGCAUCUAAGCACGAAACUUGCCCCGAGAUGAGUUCUCCCUGACUCCUUGAGAGUCCUGAAGGAACGUUGAAGACGACGACGUUGAUAGGCCGGGUGUGUAAGCGCAGCGAUGCGUUGAGCUAACCGGUACUAAUGAACCGUGAGGCUUAACCUUACAACGCCGAAG